UUUAUCACAAUAUGCUAAUAUUUUGAGAAGGACCUGUACAGCUUUUUGCUGUGAACAGAGAUGUGGAUGGAAAGAAUAUGAGAUUUAAUUGGACCGCAGGAUUACGUACAAAGCUGUAAUGUUCAUUUUAAACGUACAGUUGCAUUGUGGGAUAUUAACCAACCGGCAAGAGGCGACUUUUCGCGGGCGAGAAAGCGAGGCCAAAAGGGACUUUCACAGGGUAAGUACCUUUUUAAUCAAACAUUUUCAUUGCAUUUUGUGUCUGUUAGUGGACAAAAACGUAUUUUAUAUGGUUAUAUUGAGCUAGCUUCUCUCGCGCGUCUAUCAGUUUGUUUGCUAAAGCUAACUUUGAUUAUUUCUAAGCUAGCUUCAUGUGCAACACAAGUGCUGUUUGGUUCCAUUUUAACGUUUGUUUUCCAUCCAGAAUUGCCAGUGGUUACAUUAUUAGUUAAUACUAAUAUUGGCAGUGACUUCGGGGUAAAUCCUUCAUUUUUUUCUGUUAUGUCCGGUGGCAGCCUUAAACUGGCAUGUUCUGAUCCCAACUCUGGCAUACUGUCUCAGGCGACUUUACAGUGGUUUGUAAGUGAGCAUAAUCCAGACAGUUGUGUGUUAAUCGCUGCUUUGUCUGGUUAAACUGUAAUUAUUCUUCCCAAAAAUAAUUAGCAUUUUACACUUAUGUUCAGGCAACUAUUGUAGUAUUUUAUAAUUGCGGACCAGACAUCUUGUCACUGCGAUCACACUCAAUCAAUGUAGUUGCCAUACUCCACCAAUGAAAAACAAUUGUACUUUGCUGUACUUAACAAAUGCAUUUAAUCAUAAAGUUUAUUCUGCCGUGCACCCAUCUUACACUUAAAACUGUUGUCAGAGUAAGCGCAUCUCACUCCGAUGAUUUGAUGUCAGAGUUUAGGCUGCCUCUCACUGAAGUGAUACUGAGCUGUUGCUUAAAUAAAAAUAAAAAAAUUCGUUUUCUUGUAGUGUUCUUACAUUCAGUUAUGGGUUACUGCUACAUUAUUGGAUUUUAAGUUGGGUGACACAAAGAUAUAGGUUCUCCGUUAUAAUAGUACAAUCAGCAGAUUAAUUAUUACUAUUUUUUUCUUGUUUAUAUGACAACUAACAUUUAGCUGUGGAAAAAAAACAAUAGAUUUGCGCCCUUUUUUCCCUCCCGCCUUUCAGGCACGGUGCCUCCACUGUGAGUUUUUUUUUAAUUACACUUUACUGGCAGCUUGAAUGAGCGCUCACAUAUAUUAUUUAAAAAAAAUCCCUACUAUUCACAGUUAGUUUUUUUGUUUGUUUGUAGUGGUUGUAGACAAUCCAGAUCAAUUUUACUGCUGAACUGUUUGAGUCUGCACUCUGGACUAAAGUAACUUGUAUAAGUUCAGGAUCAAGAUGAUUUCCUGUCAGUUUUGCCCACAUAAAACUGAAACUCUUUUUGCCUAUGUGAGGCACAUGAAAUUUCACAGGAAUUUGCCAAAUGUCAUUUUUCAAUGUGGAAUGACAAACUGCAGCAUGGUGUUCAAGAACUUCAGUGCUUUCAAAUCACACACAUACCGAUAUCAUAAGCAGCAACCUGCAGCUAUGGCUCCAAUCUACACCAAUGAUUUAACCUGUCAUGUUGAAUAUUGCACUGUACAUUGUGAUGACCUAAUCAGCUUUCUUUCACAUUUAAAAACUCAUUUGAAGGAAGGUAAAGGUGUAACCUGUCCAUUUAAAAAGUGCAAAAUAACUUUUACUAUUUUGUCUACAUCACAUCACAUGUUUUUGUUGUGGGUAAUCGUAUGUUGUGACUUCACUUUUACAGAGGUGUGCUACAGCUGCAGAUCUUGAAGGAACACACAACCUGCCGCCAAGUCCAUGACUCAUUGCCCUUGGAGACGACUUUAUCUUUGACCAAUGGAUGAUAAGCAUUGAGGGUGAAAUUGUUUCUGAGGGGACUCAACCUCCUGGCUCGUCUUGCGGCACUUUUUGCUACCUUCUAUGUAUUUAACCUUGAGUAUCCAGAGGAGGCGACAUGCACACUGGAGUUUAUUCAAAGGCGGGUUUUUAGGCCUCAACCCUGAAAUAAGAACAAAAGCAGCAAAAGGAAAAGUGACAUCGAAAACAACAGGAAGACCUGUUCAAAAGAAACAGACGGCAGUGAACCCACGUCUCCACUCUCCUCUGCCAAGUCAUGGACUACCAGUGGAACUUUUAAAAUGCAACCCUUUGAUGAAUUACUUGGAUCAGCAGCAGGACCUGGAUCAGUCUACCUUAUUUUCAGAGGUGUGUUCAGGACUCAUUACUUGUUCUCGUUGGUUUUGUUUGGCUGUUCACAACGUUUUAAACUGGCUGACAUUUUAAAGAUGUACCAGCAUGGUUCUUAUGCAGUGUGUAUGUGAUUUAAAUAUUUUACAGUUCUGGAUUAGUUUGAUGAAGACAACAUAGUAUUGAAAUUGCUUAUAUUCCUAAACUUUAUUCCCUGUUGCACUGUCCAUUAUUUUUCCAUCCAUCCAUCCGGUCUGGAAAUUGUACAUUAUAAGCUUGUAAAGCUUUGUUCUUAUGCCUUUGGUUGACAAGUUUUUUUUUUUUUUGUAACUUUUAACCUUUGGCACUUCUACUUUUCUGGUUAUUUAACAGCUUGUGUGCAUUAUGUUAUAACCAUGGGAGUUAUGCAUUUAAAACGGUGUAUGAAUAUAUAUUUUUCAGUCAAUUCUUGAGUAUUUUUACAUUCAGGUUGCAAUACCUUUUGACAUUUAUGUCAAAAGCAAAUGUUGCUGUUCUUUAAAAAUGUAAUAUUUUGUUGCACUGCUGUGUGCCGGUUUUAAACAUUAACACUGAAA